rnacentral:misc_RNA from 1 species
AAUAAAUUAAACUUCUUAAUAUUUUUUUUUCUCGAGUGUUUGUGGCCACUACCGACAGCUGCUGAGCUGAGCUUCAAGUUUUGAUAUUUUGCUGGGAAAUGAUGAAGCAUAUUCUUAUUGCUAUGACGAGCUAUUGAUAUUGAGCUGAACUUUAAGAAUGAAGUACAGCUCGAAGUUUCAAUCUGUGUGUCAAAUUGAUAAAAGAAAAUGGAUUUUGGUAGUGGUUUUGGUGGCUGUGACUCAUUUAUUUUGUCAGACCUUGA